UCGUAACAAGGUCUCCGUUGGUGAACCAGCGGAGGGAUCAUUACCGAGUUAUC
rnacentral:rRNA from 1 species